GUUUCUGUACAGCACUUUGAGAUAUCAGCUGAUGUACGAAGGGCUAUAUAAAUACAUUUGAUUUGAUUUGAUUUGAAGGUCUAGGGUGCGCUGGGUGUAUUAUCAUGUGGCUGGGUGAACCUAGUAGGUCCUCAGACAGAAGGUCUAGGGUGCGCUGGGUGUAUUAUCAUGUGGCUGGGUGACCCUAGUAGGUCCUCAGACAGAAGGUCUAGGGCGCGCUGGGUGUAUUAUCAUGUGGCUGGGUGAACCUAGUAGGUCCUCAGACAGAAGGUCUAGGGUGCGCUGGGUAUAUUAUCAUGUGGCUGGGUGAACCUAGUAGGUCCUCAGACAGAAGGUCUAGGGCGCGCUGGGUGUUUGGACACCAGAGUUUAGACACACUUUCUUUCUCUUUCUCUCUCUAUUUCUGUCACGUUCGUCGUAACGAGGAGACCAAGGCUCAGCGUGAUUGGAAUACAUUCUUCUUUUAAUAAAACGAAGAACACUAAAUAAACUAACGUGCUGCUAUAAACAAAUAGUGCUGACAUGCAACUACACACACACACAAUAACCCACCAAAAUGGAAAAUGGCAACCUAAAUAGGAUCCCCAAUCAGAGACAAUGAUAAACAGCUGUCUCUGAUUGGGAACCAAUUCAGGCCACCAUAGACCUACAUUUACCUAGACAAUGCCCAAAACCCCAUAGAUAUACAAAAAACCCUAGACAAGCCAAAAACACACAUACCACCCUCGUCACACCCUGACCUAACCAAAAAUAAUAAAGUAAACAAAGAUAACUAAGGUCAGGGUGUGACAAUUUCUCUCUCUUUCUCUCUCCCUUUCUCUCUGUCUGUCUGUCUGUCUGUUUCUCUCUCUUUUCCUCACCCUCAGGAGGGAAAUGAACUCACACACUACUCCACUCCAUCGUGUUUAAUUCCAGCUCCACAACCAAUAUACAUAAUUUACAAUAUUGCUUUUGAAGUGAAAUGAAUGGUUUCAAUAGAAGCUUGGUGAUGAAAUUUAAACAAUUCUCUCUCUCUCUCUCUCUCUCUCAUUUUUCAAUUCACUUUAUUGGCAUUACGUUACAAAGUACCUAUUGCCAAAUGCUUACUUUUGAUAUUUACCAUAUGAAAAUAAUAAGAAUCAAAGUUGUCAACGGGUCAACAGUAACAACAAUAACCAAGGGUCAAAAUAACCAUACAUUGAACAAUAACAAUAAGCAUACAGAAGAGGACAUGUGCAGGUUGAUUGGUCUGUCA
ensembl:lncRNA